AGAGCGUACGGGAUCGUUAAUAGCUGAAGUCCACCGUAUACUGUCCGUUAAUGAUUGAAUGGCCUGAGAGACCGGAGCAGACAGCGGUGCUUUUGGAGCGCAUGCUCCCCAGGUUCUUUAGCUUGGCCAGGCGAGCGUUCCACACCUCCAGCUCCUCAAUACGUGUCUCCAGGUUAUCGCCUGUGCCUAUCUCAGGCAUCAUCGGGCAUCGAGGCAGGAUACACCCUUGAUGGAGU